rnacentral:lncRNA from 1 species
CGAGAGUGCGGCCCUUGCUGCUGGAGAUCUGAGGUCACUGCUGUGAGCUGGGAGAACUGCUGUGUACCUCUUGCUGCCAGCACCCAACAGCCUUGCCGUGGGGACCUUGGAAACCUGGCUUUGCUCUGGACAAAGGGUUCCAGAGAGAAGCUAGAAGUCCCCCUUGAAUGACCCCCAGAGCCCCUCUGAGAAGGGCUGGAGUUUGGGGGAAGGGGAUGGCUGGAUGUGCUCCAGGCCAUGCUGGAGGUACCCCCGAGGCACAGGCACUGCCCGUUCCCCUUGCCUGGGCUUCAGGCCUUCUGGCACCUUCUC